CGCUAUCACUCCUACGGGAGGCAGCAGUGGGGAAUAUUGCACAAUGGGCGCAAGCCUGAUGCAGCCAUGCCGCGUGUGUGAAGAAGGCCUUCGGGUUGUAAAGCACUUUCAGUCGUGAGGAAGGUAGUGUAGUUAAUAGCUGCAUUAUUUGACGUUACCUACAGAAGAAGCACCGGCUAACUCCGUGCCAGCAGCCGCGGUAAUACGGGAGGGUGCGAGCGUUAAUCGGAAUUACUGGGCGUAAAGCGCAUGCAGGCGGCCUGUUAAGUCAGAUGUGAAAGCCCGGGGCUUAACCUCGGAAUUGCAUUUGAAACUGGCAGGCUAGAGUCUUGUAGAGGGGGUAGAAUUUCAGGUGUAGCGGUGAAAUGCGUAGAGAUCUGAAGGAAUACCAGUGGCGAAGGCGGCCCCCUGGACAAAGACUGACGCUCAGAUGCGAAAGCGUGGGGAGCAAACAGGAUUAGAUACCCUGGUAG
rnacentral:rRNA from 1 species